CAGUCACCUUCAGAUUUUGGUGCACUAAUGAUACCUCUGGCGUAUGGCUGUACGCCAGAUCUUAUAAUACAUCUAAGGCUUCUGUCCGGUCUUUACGGUGGAUGUAUUUUAAGACCAAUCAGAGGUGGUUGCUAGGCGGACUAGAUUCGGCCGGCCAAUCAGCGUUUUUCUGCCAAUGUUAAUUGACGUAUGUCGUCGUUGGUCACAUUGUAUCUCGUCAUUGGUCCCGUCCUUCUGGGAGGAGCGUAGAGAGGCGGAAGUCGGAAAACAUUUAAACCAAAUUCGAAGCAUUGCAUCUGUUUGCCAGUACUGUGAGCAAACGUUAUUACUGAGGAGGUCUGGCUGCUAAAACAAAUGCUGCUGUGGAGCUGAGGAGGUCUGGAUGCUGGUUUUUGUCGUUAAUGAAGAGGUCUGGAUUGCUAAAACAAACUCUGGAGCUGCUUUUUGUCGAACAGGAGUGAGACUGGACGCUGAACACACUUGCGGCGCGAAGGUUUACUCAUUCAGCUGCUGCAGCCUGGACAGAAACACCAGCUGUCACCGCACAAACUAAACAGGUGUCACCACUUUGUCAAUGGUCAUAGAGAGUCUUUGUACAAUGAAGAAGUUCUUUGAAAUCAGGAAUGAAGCCUCCAGGAUUCAAACUUGAACCAUUAAAUUACAGAGAGAAGAGACAGACGUGAAGACAUUUCCAGAAGGUCUUCAGCUGCUGUCGUCUUCUUCUGCUGCAGAGACAAGAACGUGUUAAUCACAGAAACUGAUCAGUAAAUCUAUUUUUCCUUUCCUAAACUGACCUAAUUCAUGUAUUUAUACCAUGAUUCAUGUUUAUCAGAGAUAGAUAAACAUGAACCAUGUGUACAUACAUUAAAAAAAUUAACUGUACCAAGUUAUUUCACGAAAACUAUUUUUACUUACUAAAUUAUUUUUUACGUGUGCUACUACAUUUUUUAACAACAUAAUAUCCUGUGGCAUCUUUUAAUGACAGAAUACACUGACAUUUUUAUGCCUUAAGACAAAAGAACUAUCUUAAAGCAGCAAUCUUAUCUUUGUUUUCCACAGACGCAUAUUCACACACACACACCUUUACACAGUGUUUGUGGGUUAAGUUAGAUUUUGCAUUCAUCAUUUCAUUUUGGUAUUUCGCUAUUUCAAACAAGUGCAAUAUCAUUGCUCAAAUCCAUUCUGUUACUGUGUACAUAGUCCUGUUUAUAUUGUUAUAAAUGAUGUUUUAUAUCUUGUUUGUCAUGCCUUUUUAUUAUUUUUGCUGCUGCAACACUGAAAUUUCCCUGCUGUGGGACUUAACUGUUGGAUUAUCUUAUGCUUACUCAAAUAAAUACUUCUGAAC